UACGUAGGGUGCGAGCGUUGUCCGGAAUUACUGGGCGUAAAGAGCUCGUAGGUGGUUUGUCGCGUUGUUCGUGAAAACUCACAGCUUAACUGUGGGCGUGCGGGCGAUACGGGCAGACUGGAGUACUGCAGGGGAGACUGGAAUUCCUGGUGUAGCGGUGGAAUGCGCAGAUAUCAGGAGGAACACCAAUGGCGAAGGCAGAUCUCUGGGCCGUAACUGACGCUGAGGAGCGAAAGCAUGGGGAGCGAACAGG
rnacentral:rRNA from 1 species